UCCCUGGUGGCUCAGUGGGUUAAGGACCUGGCAUUGUUGCUGUUGUGGCUCAGGUUCAAUCCCUGGCCUGGGAA
rfam:Sus scrofa chromosome 2.